rnacentral:rRNA from 1 species
UACGGGGGGGACAAGCGUUGUCCGGAUUUACUGGGCGUAAAGAGCGCGCAGGCAGUCGUUCAAGUCGAGUGUGAAAGCCCCCGGCUCAACUGGGGAGGGUCACUCGAUACUGAUCGGCUCGAAGGCAGGAGAGGGUAGUGGAAUUCCCGGUGUAGUGGUGAAAUGCGUAGAUAUCGGGAGGAACACCAGUGGCGAAGGCGACUACCUGGCCUGUUCUUGACGCUGAGGCGCGAAAGCUAGGGGAGCAAACGGG